GCACUUGUAGCUCAGCUGGAUAGAGCGUUGCCCUCCGAAGGCAAAGGCCGUUGGUUCGAUUCCAAUCAAGUGCACCA
rnacentral:tRNA from 1 species